UGCCAGCAGCCGCGGUAAUACGGAGGGUGCAAGCGUUAAUCGGAAUUACUGGGCGUAAAGCGCGCGUAGGUGGUUUGGUCAGUUGGAUGUGAAAGCCCCGGGCUUAACCUGGGAACUGCAUUCAAUACUGCCAGACUAGAGUACGAGAGAGGGGGGUAGAAUUUCUAGUGUAGCGGUGAAAUGCGUAGAUAUUAGAAGGAACACCAGUGGCGAAGGCGGCUCACUGGCUCGAUACUGACGCUGAGGUACGAAAGUGUGGGGAGCAAACAGGAUUAGAUA
rnacentral:rRNA from 1 species